AUGAACGCUGGCGGCGUGCCUAAUACAUGCAAGUCGAGCGAACAGAUAAGGAGCUUGCUCCUUUGACGUUAGCGGCGGACGGGUGAGUAACACGUGGGUAACCUACCUAUAAGACUGGGAUAACUUCGGGAAACCGGAGCUAAUACCGGAUAACAUUUGGAACCGCAUGGUUCUAAAGUGAAAGAUGGUAUUGCUAUCACUUAUAGAUGGACCCGCGCCGUAUUAGCUAGUUGGUAAGGUAACGGCUUACCAAGGCGACGAUACGUAGCCGACCUGAGAGGGUGAUCGGCCACACUGGAACUGAGACACGGUCCAGACUCCUACGGGAGGCAGCAGUAGGGAAUCUUCCGCAAUGGGCGAAAGCCUGACGGAGCAACGCCGCGUGAGUGAUGAAGGGUUUCGGCUCGUAAAACUCUGUUAUUAGGGAAGAACAAACGUGUAAGUAACUGUGCACGUCUUGACGGUACCUAAUCAGAAAGCCACGGCUAACUACGUG
rnacentral:rRNA from 1 species